AUUGAACGCUGGCGGCAUGCUUUACACAUGCAAGUCGAACGGUAACAGGGUGCUUGCACCGCUGACGAGUGGCGAACGGGAGAGUAAUGCGUCGGAACGUGCCGAGUAGAGGGGGAUAACGCAGCGCAAGUUGUGCUAAUACCGCAUACGUACUGAGGUAGAAAGUGGGGGACCUUCGGGCCUACCGCUAUUGGAGCGGCCGACGUCUGAUUAGCUAGUAGGUGAGGUAAAGGCUCACCUAGGCGACGAUCAGUAGCGGGUCUGAGAGGAUGAUCCGCCACACUGGGACUGAGACACGGCCCAGACUCCUACGGGAGGCAGCAGUGGGGAAUUUUGGACAAUGGGCGAAAGCCUGAUCCAGCCAUGCCGCGUGUCUGAAGAAGGCCUUCGGGUUGUAAAGGACUUUUGUCAGGGAGGAAAUCCCUAGUGCUAAUAACACUGGGGGAUGACAGUACCUGAAGAAUAAGCACCGGCUAACUACGUGCCAGCCGCCGCCGUAA
rnacentral:rRNA from 1 species